GGUUGUGGCUCAGUGGCAGAACGCUUGCCUCACAUGCGUGAGGCACUGGGUUCGAUCCUCAGCACCA
rnacentral:tRNA from 1 species